AGUCUUCUGUGUGUCAGCUUGGUGGGCCUGUUGCCCCAAAGGGUUUUGGUUGAGAGGCCAGAGGAGUAAGUUCUCAGAUGAGAGUUAAAAGAUGUGUGUGAUGGAUGGAUGGAUACAUAGAAGUGUAUUUCUCUACAGGUCAAGAUGCGUGGUAUUCCCCAAGUUACAAGUCACAUAAAAUGGAGAAGAUGCGUGUCAGAUGUGGAACACACAAAACUAGACUGUGACCCGGUCCUAGUGGCUCAUUCAUCCUCGUCUUUCAACGCUCAGCUCAGAUGUCACCUCCUUGAUAUCUUCAGCUUGAUUGAGUGGAUGAUCACCUCCUUCCAGACUUGGGAACCUUUCAUUUUUACCACUCUGUGGCUGUUUUCUUGCUCCUGUAUGACACACAGCUGCUCACCCUGAUGGCUAGCCGGUGGGUGCAAUGAAAUGGAAUUCAAUUCAGUAAAUACUCACUGGAGUUUCUAACCGGUGUCAGGGUCAUACUUGGCACUGGAAACGCAGAGAUAAGUAAGAUGAUGGUGGAAAUAAAGAUGGCAACUGUCAUGGAUGGAAUUGGAUCUCACCAAAAUUCCUGUGUUGAAGUCCUAACCGCCAAUGUGACUAUAUUUGGAGACGAAGCCUUUAAGGGGGUAAUUAACGUUAAUGAGGUCACAAGAGCUGGGCUCUAAUCCAAUAGGAUUGGUACCCAUAUAAGAAAAGGAAGAGACGCCAGAGGUCUUUCCACACACUGAGGAAAGGCCAUAUGAAGACACAGUCAAAGGUGGCAUCUUCCAGCCAGGAAGAGAGGGCUUGCUGUAACCAAUCCUGCUGGCAUCUUGAUCUUGGACUUCCAGCCUCCCAAAUAGUGGAAAAAACAAAUGUCUGUUGUUAAAACCACCCAGUCAUUUAUGCAGCCUGAACAGGCUCAGACAGCAGCCUCCUUAGCAGCUCACUGCCUUUGAGAGAGCACGCUGGGUGAGCCACUGGGCUGGGCACUGAGGAUAGUCACGAUGAACAAGCCAUGGUCUCUGUCCCCCUUGAUCAUGCCAAGCGUCCAGAGAGGUUCAUUUGACCCAUUUGAAUUGAAUAGUUGGGCUUUCCAUGAAUGAGCCAAGAAGUCCAAUGCACGUGGAUGAAGACAGUGCAGGGAGAAAAUGGACUGGAUGAAGACGGAGAACAAAGAAGGAGCUGGGAGGCCACUGCCGACAUUGAGUGGGUACGUGUCAGUGGCCUACCAUAUGCCACACAAGAGGCUCGGCACUGUGAGCAAGUGAUGAGCAUGUCCGACCCUCGGCUGUCCUCCUGCCGGAACGAAACUAAGACCCCAAGAUCCCAAGGUUUGUGGCUGUAGAUGAAUCUGAAGGAGACUUCCAGUGGCCUUGAGG